UUAGUAGCCACUUAGUCACAAACACUAGCCAAUAUAUAUAUAUAUAUAUAUAUAUAUAUAUAUAUAUAUAUAUAUAUAUAUAUAUUGGCUAGUGUUUGUGACUAAGUGACUAUAUA